rnacentral:rRNA from 1 species
AUUGAACGCUGGCGGCAGGCCUAACACAUGCAAGUCGAGCGGUAGAGAGAAGCUUGCUUCUCUUGAGAGCGGCGGACGGGUGAGUAAUGCCUAGGAAUCUGCCUGGUAGUGGGGGAUAACGUUCGGAAACGGACGCUAAUACCGCAUACGUCCUACGGGAGAAAGCAGGGGACCUUCGGGCCUUGCGCUAUCAGAUGAGCCUAGGUCGGAUUAGCUAGUUGGUGGGGUAAUGGCUCACCAAGGCGACGAUCCGUAACUGGUCUGAGAGGAUGAUCAGUCACACUGGAACUGAGACACGGUCCAGACUCCUACGGGAGGCAGCAGUGGGGAAUAUUGGACAAUGGGCGAAAGCCUGAUCCAGCCAUGCCGCGUGUGUGAAGAAGGUCUUCGGAUUGUAAAGCACUUUAAGUUGGGAGGAAGGGCAGUAAAUUAAUACUUUGCUGUUUUGACGGUACCGACAGAAUAAGCUCCGGCUAACUCUGUG